rnacentral:rRNA from 1 species
AAGGCUUGACAUAUACGAGAACGGGCCAGAAAUGGUCAACUCUUUGGACACUCGUAAACAGGUGGUGCAUGGUUGUCGUCAGCUCGUGUCGUGAGAUGUUGGGUUAAGUCCCGCAACGAGCGCAACCCUCGUUCUAUGUUGCCAGCGCGUAAUGGCGGGAACUCAUAGGAGACUGCCGGGGUCAACUCGGAGGAAGGUGGGGAUGACGUCAAAUCAUCAUGCCCCUUAUGUCUUGGGCUUCACG